CAGAAAGUAGUUGGUUGUUGUUAGCUAGCAACUGUUGACAAUCCCAAAUGAGGCUGCUAAAGGGAGAAUGGCUCAUAAUAAUGGCUGGAACAGAGCUAAUGGAAAGGCAUCAAACCCUUGGAAAUCAUGUGUUUGAUGUAUUUGGUACCAUUCCACCUAUUCCGCUCCAGUCAUUACCACAAGCCCAUCCUCCCCAAGUAAGGCGCCACCAAACUCCUGUGUGUUUUAACCUUUUGACAAGGAGGUCCUCGACAUAAGACUGGAAGCCAUUGUUGUUAUGUGGUGGAGAUAUGAGGCUGCAACUAAGAAGAGGAUCUGAAGAUAGUUAAGUCAAAGCUGAAUGAAGGCAUGGCCUCAAAGGGAUUAACAAAAAAAAGUGUAAAUAUGUAAUUUAAUAUGUG